ensembl:lncRNA
CUCCCAUCUCAGGAUCCACUAGAGGUGUCCUUCAGGAGUUCCGCAGGUUGCCUUGGUUUCCUAGAGGAGCUGUCCUGCAAGACUCCUCAGAGGCACAUCCCCAAAGAGAGAGCUUUCUAAUUCUGUAGUAGUAAUGAAAGAAAACAAAAGAAUCCCAGAGCUGCUGGAGCUACAAACUGCAGCGUGACGGUGUGAGUUACCAUGUUGUGUCUUGUGGCUGCCUCUCGCUGUGCCCUGUCCUGUGGCCCACGUGCUGAGGGACAGAGAAGCAAUGUCUAAGAGUCAUUCAGAGUGACACGUGGGCAGAUGAGAUCUAAACAAACCGAAUGGAUGUAGGAAGCCAGUUGUAUCCAACAGCACUGCCAGGAGCUCAGCCUCGCGACUCUCUUUUGGGACUAUAGAACGCUUGCUAAGAAGUGCAUUUUUCACCACGAGUGUGUACAGCAUCUGCAGCCUGCUCCUUUUCCUGCUUCUCCACCUGUACCACAGGCUCUGCUGGAACAGAACGGUCAGGAUGUGGCUCAGAUCUACAUGGACUGUCCUUGAGACCUCUGUGGUGACACCUCGUAUGUGCACGCCAUCCAUCCAUACUGAGAGCACACCCAGAAGCUCAGACACUGCGGCCCAACCCAUGUCCUCCUGUCUGGGCAGGAGGGGCUGCACUCCUCUGUGCUGGUCGGGUUGGUGUACACUGGUAUUGGCAUCCCAACAGAGAUGCCCCUGUCCUCUGUGGCAAACAGGAUACUGUGUGCUUGUAGAAACCCAGAGUGUU